CACGUAGGGGACGAGCGUUGUCCGGAUUCAUUGGGCGUAAAGAGCUCGUAGGCGGCUCAGUAAGUCGGGUGUGAAACCUCCAGGCUCAACCUGGAGACGCCACCCGAUACUGCUGUGGCUAGAGUCCAGUAGGGGAGCGUGGAAUUCCUGGUGUAGCGGUGAAAUGCGCAGAUAUCAGGAGGAACACCUAUGGCGAAGGCAGCUCGCUGGGACGUUACUGACGCUGAGACGCGAAAGCGUGGGGAGCAAACAGG
rnacentral:rRNA from 1 species